rnacentral:rRNA from 1 species
AACGAACGCUGGCGGCAUGCCUAACACAUGCAAGUCGAACGAGACCUUCGGGUCUAGUGGCGCACGGGUGCGUAACGCGUGGGAAUCUGCCCUUGGGUUCGGAAUAACAGUUGGAAACGACUGCUAAUACCGGAUGAUGACGUAAGUCCAAAGAUUUAUCGCCCAAGGAUGAGCCCGCGUAGGAUUAGCUAGUUGGUGAGGUAAAGGCUCACCAAGGCGACGAUCCUUAGCUGGUCUGAGAGGAUGAUCAGCCACAUUGGGACUGAGACACGGCCCAGACUCCUACGGGAGGCAGCAGUGGGGAAUAUUGGACAAUGGGCGAAAGCCUGAUCCAGCAAUGCCGCGUGAGUGAUGAAGGCCUUAGGGUUGUAAAGCUCUUUUACCCGGGAUGAUAAUGACAGUACCGGGAGAAUAAGCUCCGGCUAACUCCGUG